AAUCGAAAACUUAGCCUUACACCCAACACCUUAAUAUACAAAACUAAACCAUUCAUAUAUGAUAGUAUGGGCGACAGAAAACCUAUAAGCGCAAUAAACAAAGUACUGCAAAGGAAAAGUGAAAUAGAAAUUAAAUAAACCAUAAAAAUAUAAUAAAGCAAAGCUUAACACCUGUACCUUUUGCAUCAUGGUCUAGCAAGUCAAACCUUACAAAAAGAAUUUAGCAAGACCCCCCGAAACCAAGCGAGCUACCCUAGGGCAGUUUAUGAACGAACCCACCCCUGUAGCAAAAGGGCGGGAAGACCUUUAGGUAGAGGCAACAAACUUAACGAGCCUGGAUAUAGCUGGUUGCUUGAGAAAGAAUUUAAGUUCACAUAAAAAUGGUUAUACCAACAAGGAAAAAUCACCUUUUUUACUUUAAUUAAUUGGGUUACAGCCCAAUUAAUAAGGGAGACAACCCAAAUAAAUGAAUAAGGAUUAUAAUUUUUAAGAAAUAAAGUCAUGUAGGCCUAAAAGCAGCCACCAAAAAAGCGUUAAAGCUUAACUUAAUAAAACAUCAACUAUUACAACAAAUAAUCUUAAUUCAACAAAAAAAUCAAGCUAAUCUAUUUAUAGAUAAACUACUACUAGAAUGAGUAAUAAGGAUAUACUCCUCCAUAAUAUAAACAUAAAUCAGAACGAACUAAUCACUGAUAAUUAAUGAAUACAUUUAUCAAAACAAGAAAACCUAUAAUAAAAAUCAUUAACCCAACACAGGAAUAUUAAAGGAAAGACUUAAAACUUAGAAAGGAACUCGGCAAACCAAGGCUUCGCCUGUUUACCAAAAACAUCGCCUUUUGAACUAUAAACAUAAAAGGUCCUGCCUGCCCAGUGACAUUUGUUUCAACGGCCGCGGUAUUAUGACCGUGCAAAGGUAGCGUAAUCACUUGUCUUUUAAAUAAAGACCAGUAUGAAUGGCAAGACGAAAGCCUAACUGUCUCCCUAAGUUAGUCAAUAAAAUUGAUCUUCCCGUGCAGAAGCGGGAAUAAUAAUAUAAGACGAGAAGACCCUGUGGAGCUUCAAACUCAAGCUAACACCAUAAAUGCCUUAGCACCAGUUUUAGGUUGGGGCGACCAUGAGGUAGAACACAACCCUCAAGACGUAAAACUAAGAAGGACACUUCAAAUAAAUAAUAAUAAUGUAAUUGACCCAAUAAUUGAUCAACGAACCAAGUUACCCCAGGGAUAACAGCGCAAUCUACUCAAAGAGCCCUUAUCGAAGAGCAGGUUUACGACCUCGAUGUUGGAUCAGGACCCCCAAAUAAUGCAACAGUUAUUAAAGGUUCGUUUGUUCAACGAUUAAAGUCCUACGUGAUCUGAGUUCAGACCGGAGCAAUCCAGGUCAGUUUCUAUCUAUAACCUAACCUUUCUAGUACGAAAGGACCGAAAAGUUAAGGCCAAUAAAUACUUAAGCCUCAUAACAACCUCUGAACACAAAUAAAGAGGAAUGUAGAAAAAUUAUUAGU
rnacentral:rRNA from 1 species